rnacentral:rRNA from 1 species
UGGGGAAUAUUGGACAAUGGGCGAAAGCCUGAUCCAGCCAUGCCGCGUGUGUGAAGAAGGUCUUCGGAUUGUAAAGCACUUUAAGUUGGGAGGAAGGGCAGUUACCUAAUACGUGAUUGUUUUGACGUUACCGACAGAAUAAGCACCGGCUAACUCUGUGCCAGCAGCCGCGGUAAUACAGAGGGUGCAAGCGUUAAUCGGAAUUACUGGGCGUAAAGCGCGCGUAGGUGGUUAGUUAAGUUGGAUGCGAAAUCCCCGGGCUCAACCUGGGAACUGCAUUCAAAACUGACUGACUAGAGUAUGGUAGAGGGUGGUGGAAUUUCCUGUGUAGCGGUGAAAUGCGUAGAUAUAGGAAGGAACACCAGUGGCGAAGGCGACCACCUGGACUGAUACUGACACUGAGGUGCGAAAGCGUGGGGAGCAAACAGGAUUAGAUACCCCAGUAGUCCCUGAGCGGGCUGGCAAGGCGCAU